GAUGAACGCUGGCGGCGUGCUUAACACAUGCAAGUCGAACGGAAAGGCUCCUGCUUGCAGGGGUACUCGAGUGGCGAACGGGUGAGUAACACGUGGGUGAUCUGCCCUGCACUUCGGGAUAAGCCGGGGAAACUGGGUCUAAUACCGGAUAGGACGAUGGUUUGGAUGCCAUUGUGGAAAGUUUUUCGGUGUGGGAUGGGCUCGCGGCCUAUCAGCUUGUUGGUGGGGUAAUGGCCUACCAAGGCGUCGACGGGUAGCCGGCCUGAGGGGGUGGACGGCCACAUUGGGCCUGAGAUACGGCCCAGACUCCUACGGGAGGCAGCAGUGGGGAAUAUUGCACAAUGGGCGCAAGCCUGAUGCAGCGACGCCGCGUGGGGGAUGACGGCCUUCGGGUUGUAAACUCCUUUCGCUAGAGACGAAGCGCAAGUGACGGUACCUGGAGAAGAAGCACCGGCUAACUACGUG
rnacentral:rRNA from 1 species